rnacentral:rRNA from 1 species
CUGGCGACCGGCGCACGGGUGAGUAACACGUAUCCAACCUGCCGAUAACUCGGGGAUAGCCUUUCGAAAGAAAGAUUAAUACCCGAUGGCAUAAUUAGACCGCAUGGUUUGAUUAUUAAAGAAUUUCGGUUAUCGAUGGGGAUGCGUUCCAUUAGGCAGUUGGUGAGGUAACGGCUCACCAAACCUUCGAUGGAUAGGGGUUCUGAGAGGAAGGUCCCCCACAUUGGAACUGAGACGCGGUCCAA